rnacentral:lncRNA from 1 species
AUGGGAGACUCUUCUGUUUCUGCUCUGCAGAAUAGUUCUCAAUGAGUCUAAAGUGAGUUCUACUUUCACUUCUAAAUCAGUAGAAUGACUCAAUGACUGGCUUAUGUGAUUCUUAGUUGUCUUCCUUUGUGUUAUAUGACUCUCAAGUUACAGAACAGUAGGAAGAGCUUAAGGAGCUUGAGUCAGAUCAGGGAUCAGCUCUUGAGCCUGCAAAAUACUUCAAGAAGCUGCCUUAGAUGUUUUUAAAACCAAAACCUCUUUCUACAAAGUACUCUUAAGCCUUUGCUGUACAAGACCAUUUCUCUAGUAUCUGUGAGGGAAGUUGGAAGACACAUGGAGCAGAAUAAAUGUAUGUAUGUGUGAAAAGGUACAGCCUUGUUCCACUGUCUCGACUUCAUCUUAUUCUCUCUAUUGGUUCCCACCACAGGACUAUUUCUAUUCUCUCUCUGGAUCUAGUUAACCUCCCUUCACCUGGAAUGGGACUAGCUCAAGGUUGCUACUCCCAAAAGACUAUUUGGCAUCAACAUGAUCCUUUUUCUUGUCUCCUGCUCAGGCUGUGUUUAAUAAUAUAGUUUUCUCUCUGGAAUGACUUUCUGUAAUAACACUUAUUUUUCUUGGCUCACUUCCCAUAGGCUUAAGUCUAUUUUUCUCUUCUCUAGACUCGAGUUUUAAGAUUCUUACAAAACUGAGGAUGUGGCUCAGUGGUAAAGUGUUAGUCUACCAGGCAAAAGGCCACAGGCAGGAAGAACAAGAUGACAAAGAAGAUAAAGUUAGAUAGAUAGAUAGAUAGACAGAUAGAUAGAUAGUUAGACUAUAUAGUGAGACAGUGUUUCAAAAAUCUCCAAAUCAUCUAACAAAUGAAAUAAACUUAAAAAAAAAAAACAGAAAAUGCAAUAUUCUUACAAAGUCCAUCAAGACAGGCCUAGUUCAUGUUCUUUUUUUUUUUUUGUACUGACACCUACAGAUAUAUCUACAGCCUUCCUCCCUAAGCUGAAGGUUGUGACGAUUUUGCUUGUUUUGUUUUAUUUCCUGUAUGGCUUGCCCUCCAGUCUUGACCAAGGGAAGCUACACUGGGGUCCUCUGUUAAAAUCUUCCAGUAGGACCUUUUCCAACCUCACUUCCUCUUUAUGUUAUACAGUAUCACACUGUCAUUCAUUACUGAUAUCAAAUGAUGAAAGAUCUCCACUCUGUGACAAAGAUAUAAUUGUCAGGUAUAAGGCUCAGCAUGAUCUCUAACAUAAGAACUUCCAGUGGCCCUUCUGAAGCCACUGAAUGACAAAUAUAGAAAACUUCCUAGGUUGUGACUGAAACAAGCAAACCAAAGAACCAGUCAGUCAUAAUGGGUGCUUAAAAAGGGAAAGCUAGAAUGUGUUAAGUGCCUCAUCCUUCAACAUGCACUGACUUCAUCAAUCUAUUGCCUUUGGUACAGGCUGCAUGCUUGUGUUUCCAGAAUUCAUUUGCUGAAAUCCUGAAUGCCCAUGGCUUCAAGAGCCUGGGAUUUCAAGAUGUAGUUGGCUUUUGAAGUUGGAAAUGUCAUGAUGGGACUUAUAUCUCUCUAAGAGACUAUGGAGGUACUGAAGAAAUGGCUCAGUGAGGUUCCGAAGCAGAAAUGAUUGAGUACGUUUUGCUCUUCUAGAGGAUCUGAGCUAGGUUCCCAGCACUUGCAUUUACAGCUUAGAAUCACCUGUAACCACAGCUCCAAGGGAUCUGGUGCCCCUUUCUGAUCUUAAGAGGUGCUUGCAUUUGUUUGUAUACUGAAGGGACCAGUAUUGGCUAAACACACCCCAAGACCAAGUACUCAGCCCAGAAGAGAAUUUUUUUUUUACCCCAGAGAGAUAAAAGGCAAGGAAUAAGUGACAAAGAAAGGGGAAAGGAACAAAGG